AGCCACAGCCAUAUCACCCUACAGCCCAAGACUGGUUGCCCACUGAAGCUAAGCAGGGUUGAGCCUGGUCAGUACCUGGAUGGGAGACCUCCUGGGAAAACUAGGUUGCUGUUGGAA
rnacentral:rRNA from 1 species